rnacentral:miRNA from 1 species
GACCGGAAGGGUUUCCUUCCGGUCAACGAGGUACAUGUACCUCAUCGACCGGAAGGAAACCCUUCCGAUUGAUGAGGUACAUCUACCUCAUCGACCAGAAGGAAACCCUUCCGGUC